AUGAUCCAGGCUGGGCACCACCUCUCCAAGGCUGUCUUUUCCAUGGGUCCUGUAACGCCUGCCCAUGCAGGAGCCUACAGAUGCUGUGGUUCUUUCAAUCACUCCCGCUACAUGUGGUCGGCUCCCAGUGACCCCCUGGACAUUGUGAUCACAGGACAAUACAAAAAGCCCUCUCUCAUCACCCGAGAGAACACCAUGGUGGGCUCGGGAGAUACAGUGACCUUGUUCUGCAGCUCAAAGAUCCCAUUUGACAAGUAUCAUCUAUCCAGGAAGCAGGAGGCCCAUGGUCACUGGCUCAGUGGAGGGCAGAGCCACAAUGGAAUAUUCCAGGUCGAUCUUCCUCUGUGCUUUGUGUCCCCAACCUCUGUUGGGAGCUACAGAUGCUAUGGUGCUUUCAAUGAGUCUCCCUAUGAGUGGUCAGCCCCCAGUGACCCACUGCACGUUCCUGUCACAGGAAUCUCUGAGGGUACUUGCCCGACACCCAUGGAAUCAAGCCCUGAAACUGGUGAGCAGAGAAUUCUUCACGUAAUUUGUGAAUUCCUGGGGAGACAGAAGUCUCCUUCUCCACCUGAAAUCCUUUUUUUUUUGAGACGGAGUCUCGCUCUGUCGCCCAGGCUGGAGUGCAGUGGCCGGAUCUCAGCUCACUGCAAGCUCUGCCUCCCGGGUUUACGCCAUUCUCCUGCCUCAGCCUCCCGAGUAGCUGGGACUACAGGCACCCGCCACCUCGCCCGGCUAGUUUUUUGUAAUUUUAGUAGAGACGGGGUUUCACCGUGUUAGCCAGGAUGGUCUCGAUCUCCUGACCUCGUGAUCCACCCGUCUCGGCCUCCCAAAGUGCUGGGAUUACAGGCGUGAGCCACC
rnacentral:lncRNA from 1 species